rnacentral:rRNA from 1 species
UAGGGAAUCUUCGGCAAUGGACGAAAGUCUGACCGAGCAACGCCGCGUGAGUGAAGAAGGUUUUCGGAUCGUAAAACUCUGUUGUUAGAGAAGAACAAGGACGUUAGUAACUGAACGUCCCCUGACGGUAUCUAACCAGAAAGCCACGGCUAACUACGUGCCAGCAGCCGCGGUAAUACGUAGGUGGCAAGCGUUGUCCGGAUUUAUUGGGCGUAAAGCGAGCGCAGGCGGUUUCUUAAGUCUGAUGUGAAAGCCCCCGGCUCAACCGGGGAGGGUCAUUGGAAACUGGGAGACUUGAGUGCAGAAGAGGAGAGUGGAAUUCCAUGUGUAGCGGUGAAAUGCGUAGAUAUAUGGAGGAACACCAGUAGCGAAGGCGGCUCUCUGGUCUGUAACUGACGCUGAGGAUCGAAAGCGUGGGGAGCAAACAGG